GACGAACGCUGGCGGCGUGCUUAACACAUGCAAGUCGAACGGAAAGGCCCUGCUUUUGUGGGGUGCUCGAGUGGCGAACGGGUGAGUAACACGUGAGUAACCUGCCCUUGACUUUGGGAUAACUUCAGGAAACUGGGGCUAAUACCGGAUAGGAGCUCCUGCUGCAUGGUGGGGGUUGGAAAGUUUCGGCGGUUGGGGAUGGACUCGCGGCUUAUCAGCUUGUUGGUGGGGUAGUGGCUUACCAAGGCUUUGACGGGUAGCCGGCCUGAGAGGGUGACCGGCCACAUUGGGACUGAGAUACGGCCCAGACUCCUACGGGAGGCAGCAGUGGGGAAUAUUGCACAAUGGGCGGAAGCCUGAUGCAGCAACGCCGCGUGCGGGAUGACGGCCUUCGGGUUGUAAACCGCUUUCGCCUGUGACGAAGCGUGAGUGACGGUAAUGGGUAAAGAAGCACCGGCUAACUACGUGCCAGCAGCCGCGGUGAUACGUAGGGUGCGAGCGUUGUCCGGAUUUAUUGGGUGUAAAGGGCUCGUAGGUGUUGAUCGCGUCGGAAGUGUAAUCUUGGGGCUUAACCCUGAGCGUGCUUUCGAUACGGGUUGACUUGAGGAAGGUAGGGGAGAAUGGAAUUCCUGGUGGAGCGGUGGAAUGCGCAGAUAUCAGGAGGAACACCAGUGGCGAAGGCGGUUCUCUGGGCCUUUCCUGACGCUGAGGAGCGAAAGCGUGGGGAGCGAACAGGCUUAGAUACCCUGGUAGUCCACGCUGUAAACGGUGGGUACUAGGUGUGGGGUCCAUUCCACGGGUUCCGUGCCGUAGCUAACGCUUUAAGUACCCCGCCUGGGGAGUACGGCCGCAAGGCUAAAACUCAAAGGAAUUGACGGGGCCCCGCACAAGCGGCGGAGCAUGCGGAUUAAUUCGAUGCAACGCGUAGAACCUUACCUGGGUUUGACAUGGAUCGGGAGUGCUCAGAGAUGGGUGUGCCUCUUUUGGGGUCGGUUCACAGGUGGUGCAUGCCUGUCGUCAGCUCGUGUCGUGAGAUGUUGGGUUAAGUCCCGCAACGAGCGCAACCCUUGUUCACUGUUGCCAGCACGUUAUGGUGGGGACUCAGUGGAGACCGCCGGGGUCAACUCGGAGGAAGGUGGGGAUGACGUCAAGUCCUCAUGCCCCUUAUGUCCAGGGCUUCACGCAUGCUACAAUGGCUGGUACAGAGAGUGGCGAGCCUGUGAGGGUGAGCGAAUCUCGGAAAGCCGGUCUCAGUUCGGAUUGGGGUCUGCAACUCGACCUCAUGAAGUCGGAGUCGCUAGUAAUCGCAGAUCAGCAACGCUGCGGUGAAUACGUUCCCGGG
rnacentral:rRNA from 1 species